rnacentral:sRNA from 1 species
GGAGUUGUUCGUAUCGUCUUCUACCUUAUAAA